rnacentral:lncRNA from 1 species
GUCAGGCUGGGUUUCAGUUCACAGUUCAGAUUGCUGUGUCAUGGUGACAUGCAAACGUUUUAAAUUGCAUGUAAAUGUCUUUACUCUGGCAAGUGAUAGACAUUUGGACCUUGUGUUGCCAUCAAUGGGCUGAAAUGGGGUAUAACUGCAUCCACAGUCAGUCUGAUAUUCUUCCCAACACUUGGGGAUGGCUGUGUGCAGACACUGGGAGAGUAGAGGCCUGCUGGCUGCUUCAUCCAUGAUAUCACUGAUCCCAUCUGUGACUUCAGUUUCUUCAGGCUUCCAGUGCAGGCUCUUCAGUUUUCCAAUACAGAUCCUUUGGAACUGGACUUGCACCUGACUCUGCCUCGAGCUCCAGGUCUUCGACAUUUGAUUGAAUCCUCUGGCUCUUCAGUGUGCAGAUGACCCUUUUAUAUUCUUCCAGCCUCGAUUCUCUUGGGAUCUGAUGUGGAUCCUUAGGGUGGAAAAUUCCCGUGACCUGGUCAAUUUUAUCUGAAGGGAUGAAGGGUCGAUAUUUCCAUCCUCUACUCCUGUGUCUGCUGAAUGUUGGAACACUGCAUGUGUUUAAAGAGCCCCAAAGGGAAGGCAGAAGACUGAGAGUUUCAUUCUAAGCAAUGUGGAUGG